GAUUCCAUCACAACCACCAUCGUCGUGGGCAGCUUGAUGGUGAGAGAUUUUGUCACCCAGGCGCCAGUGUCCAAGACAUCAACUCCCUUCACCCCACAGAUCCAGCCAACUACUCUAACAUAGGCACCAUUGUCACUCACUUCAGAUUUAUUGACAUUCGCUUUUGGCAAUCUGAGUAACUGAAGAAGGACUACAACAUUCUCUUGAACACCCUUGAUUUUACAGGGAAGCAACAGAGGACAUGGAAAUCGUAUUAUAUCGCAGAGAAUUAGAAGUGCAGGAAACGGGCUGAGGGGUGCGUCACUUGAGUGGGUUGAGUCACUGACGUGGUCUUCCUGUCUGGGUUGGCGUCCCCCCCUUGGGUUGUGCCAUGGCGGAGAUCUUUAUGGGCUAUACUCGGUCUUGUCUCAGGAUGGACCUGAGCCCUAGGACCAUGCCUUAGGGCUACCUGGCAUGAUGACUCCUUGCUGUCCCCAGUCCUGGCCGUGCUGCUGCUCCAGUUUCAACUGUUCUGCCUGCGGCUAUGGAACCCUGACCUGUUCACCGGACGUGCUACCUGUCCCAGACCUGCUGUUUUCAACUCUCUAGAGACAGCAGGAGCGAUAGAGAUACUCUCAAUGAUUGGCUAUGAAAAGCCAAAUGACAUUUACUCCUGAUGUGGUGACUUGUUGCACCCUCGACAACUACUGUGAUUAUUAUUAUUUGGCCAUGUUCUGUUAUAAUCUCUACCCGGCACAGCCAGAAGAGGACUGGCCACCCCACAUAGCCUGGUUCCUCUCUAGGUUUUAGUCUUUCUCGGGAGUUUUUCCUAGCCAUCGUGGUUCUACACCUGCAUUGCUUGCUGUUUGGGGUUUUAGGCUGGGUUUCUGUACAGCACUUUGAUAUAUCAGCUGAUGUAAAUCAAUUUCAUUUGUAAAAAAUUAAUACAUUUGAUAAUAGACAAAAAAAAAAUGUUUUAUUGGCACUCCCCAACAGGGGUAUAGUUAAGGGCACUGAAGGUGGUCUAUCAAUUUUAUUUUACUGUACAUUUUUGCUCAUCAUUCAUUUGUGAUAUUGAUUUGUGAUUGAUUGACUUAUUUGUGAUGUUUUAUGCCUGUUUCUGGAAUUUUGAAUAAACGUGCUAUAUUGUUCUGAAA